AUGGGGACAGGGCGCCAGUUCCCUUCAUGUGAUGGGAAAAGGAAGGAGGGCACAUGGAGCACUGCGAGGCGCUCAGCACAACUGCUGGAAAAACAAAGCAACUUGAGGGAUUUCGGCAGUGAAAAGACAAACAAAAAGUGCAUUCAUAAUCGCAACCGGCUUCACCUCUGCGAAACGCCGACCACAGCUAAUUUCAGUGUAGCCUGGCCCUACCUGGUCUUCUUCAUAGACCCCCAGAACUUGAUAACUGCUGGGCAAGGAGGGAGCUGCACAGAGAAUUAUGCUCCGAAUAGCUUAAUGCAAAAUCACAGCCAUUCUCACUUCAGCUCAUCAUUGUGACAAAACUGACAACUGCUGCAGUCUCCAUGCGGGCACAGGGGAAAGAAAGAUGAAGAAGUUGCAUGAAAGGCAAGAAGAAACAAAGGAACUGAGCUCUAAAACACACUGGAGAAGCAAAUUCUUAGAAAAGAGCAGUCAUAGUAAGACCUGUGUUGAGAAGGUAUGGAAACUGACAAAAGGGGAUCUCUCAAGGUGCUCGAUCUUUUUUUUUUGUCUGUUAAAACGUUUUUUGAGAAGGACAAAGAGCAGAUGAAUGAAUUUUGUGCAUAAAAGUUUAACAUGUGUAAAUCAAACUCUGUGCUUGAUAUUUACCCUAAAGAACUGUUCUGUUCUUCUUCCCAUGUGACCUUUCCCCUUCUCCUAAAUGAAAAAAGAGUAUCAACUGCAGCGUAGACCCAUGCAAAUCCUUGUGCUGCUUUUCAAAGAGACUUCACUUCAUGUUUGGAAUGCCAACAAAGUUAUUAUUGUUUUGGACAUUGCAACAUUGCAGCAAAUCAGUCACAGUUAAUUCCUCCAUCCUUGGACAGAAACAGAAUGAUAAUUACCACCUCAAGCGGCUAACACAGAAGGAUGGGGAAGAGAGGAAGCAAACAGCAUUCAGCCCUUUCAGGUUUACCUUGUCUAAUACAGUACAAUGCUGUUCAUGGAUACUGACUACAGUAGGGUUUCUUUACAGGUACAUGGAAUAUGAUGAAGCUGCUAUAUGUCAUAGUAACCUUUUUCCAAACAGCUACAUUGAGGACAUAGGAUACAAACAGCUCUGUUUUUAACCAUUUUAUGCCGUGCACUGACUUUUAUAACUGUUUGUUGAUGUUAUGUUUUUAUUGAUGCGACAUUGUUUUAUUGCCGAUCUUGUUUUAUUUUUUAUUGUUGUUAUUGUAUUGUUGUCGGGCAUGGCCCCAUGUAAACCGCUCCGAGUCCCUCCGGGGAGAUGGGGCAGGAUAUAAAAAUAAAGUUGUUGUUGUUGUUGUUGUUGUUGUUGUUGUUGUUGUUAUUAUUAUUAUUAUUAUUAUUAUUAUUAUUAUUAUUAUUAUUAUUAUAGGAUACAUGGGAAUGAAUGUAUUGCAAUGUUGGCACAUUUCUCUCUUUCACCCUCCAUUCUUGCCUCUUUGGAUUCCACAUCACUGCUGGUCACAGCUGACCUCCAGUUGGAGUGCUCAAGGGCCAGGGUUUCCCAGUUUUCAGUGUCUAUGUUUUUAAGGUUAGCUUUAAGCCCAUCUUUAAAUCUCUUUUCCUGUCCACCAACAUUCCAUUUUCCAUUCUUGAGUUGGGAGUAUAGUAACUGCUUUGGGAGACUGUGAUCAGGCAUUUGGACAACGUGGCCAGUCCAGCAGAGUCAAUGCUGGUAGUCUUUGCUUCUUCCAGCAUGCUGACAUUUGUCUGCUUGACUUCCUAGGUGAUUUGCAGGAUUUUUCAGAGGCAAUGCUGAUGAAAUCAUCCCAGGAGUUGAGUGUGACGUCUGGAAAGCCAUCAUACUUGGACAACGGGAGAUUGCCUAAGUAAGACUACAGUACAACCCCCAUAUUCUUGGGCCUAGUAUCUACAGUAUCAUUUACCCAUGACCGACAAAAUAUGUCCUUUCUAGACUUUUUCUAGGUCCUCCAGCAUGACUAUCACAUUAUUGGUCCAGAAGCCAUACAUUUCAAUAUGGAUCUGUAGUUUUACAGAUCCAUGUGAAGUCCGGGAACAUAUCCAUGUGCAUAGAGAAUUUCCCAUACUAGGGAAAAUCUCAGUUAUAUAUUUCAAGUUUUUUUUAAAGACAACUAAAGUUUAAUUAGGCAAGACCAUUAAAUGCACAGCCUAGUGAUAGAUUCCAAUGACAACCGAAAUGGAGUAGGUGGACCUUAUAUUUGGAGCAAGAGAGAGGGUUUUUUUUAAAAAGAUAUCUAUAUCUAUAUGCUCAUUAUUCAGUCAAAAUCAUUCCACAUAUGUUGCACUUCUCCCUUCAGAGGGAAGUGAGUUAGGAUGCAUGCGGGGAAUUCAAGUAUGGGGAUUGGGACAGGAAAACAACCUCCACGGAGCCAGAAUUAAAUCUCACCCUCUCCGAUUUCAGUGGCUGCUUUUCAUUUAAUUGGGGCUGAGAACAAGUUAUCUUCCAAGUCCGAGUCAUCUCGAUCAUGGGUUAUGUUGUUGAUGAACUUAUGGGAGGUCUCCCCCUUUAAAAAGUAUUCACAUACUGAGUUGCAUGUAAGGGUGGACAUGUUGAAAAUUCAUUAAAAUUAUCAAGUGUUUGAUUAUGAGUAUAAAAAAUCAUUCUCUCUCCAUUUUAUACUAUUAGAACUCUGGGUCAUUCUGUGAAAUUGGUGGGCAAUUAACUUAAGGUAGGAGUACUUCACAUAAUUAAUUCUUGGAAUA
rnacentral:lncRNA from 1 species